UUUAACUGAAACGACGGCGUUUCCCUCUCGCAUGCUCCUCUAGGUGUAGCGCAGCAGGGCAGACGAGCACACAAAGCAAGCAGAGAAAGAAACUGCGUAGCUUAGCUAAAAGAGAAAGAGGAAGCAGAGAGAGAGAGAGGAAUGGUAGGGGCGGGGGCGUUUUGGGGGACGAGAGUUAUGGAGAUAGUGAAGAAGCAUGACUCUGGUGGUCUUGUUUGGAAACGAAUUAAACUCACCACCACUCGUAAGGCCAACGCCAAGAAACGCCUCCUUAGGGUUUGGCAGAAUGAAGCUGUCCUGAAGGCAUGUUCUGAAUCCCAACCUUCCAAAAUGUCCACAGCUGGUGCUUCUGCAGUUGACAAAAAAGAGGGCCUCAACACUGCAAGCUGACUUUGAAAUGAGUGAGAUAGAACAUAAGAUACUCUCAAGGCUGCUUGUGAUUGCAAGUUUUUUUUAGCAUUUUUUGGUCUGUGAUGUCUUGCUAGGUCUAUUUAUGCUUAGGUAAUAUUUUGAGUUCGUCCAAUCACUUCCAUGUAACAACUGAAAUGGUUUCUUCACAUUGUAAAGAUUUUUCAACAUAGACUGUGAUUGCAUCAUUUACUAUUGACUCUUUUUGUAUUUUCUAUGCAUGCUGAUGGCAUGUUUGAUCCAGUGCAUGCUAUUUAUUA